rnacentral:miRNA from 1 species
AGGACUGGACUCCCGGCGGC